GCCAGAAGAAAUUUUUCCCAGAGGCUCAUACUGGAGUAGGGACCAUAUCGAUAGGGAUUAAUAACGUUGUAUCCAUAGUUAUACUUGAGCAUACUCAAGUUAUAAGAGUUGUCCACUGUGGGAUCGGAUAUGAGCAUUAUGUUAGCUGGAGGUGGAUUCUCAUAGGUCCAACAAGAGAUAAGCGUCAGUAGUUCACGAGAACCUGUAAAAUCAAAAGAAACUUAAAAGACUUGAGACCCUCUCUGUUAUGAAUUCAUCAAGGAAAAGUACUGUAGAAAGAUAUAUUAACCAAAGGGGGUGGCUUGAAGAACGAUUCCAGUGGAAGAGACUGCUCGCAGGACGUCAACGGAGAUGUCUGUUAGUAGGCCGAAUGCAGAGAUACUGAGAGGACCAAAGUAGCCUAAUUUCUCCAAAAACCGUUUAAUACACGGACCGACAAGACGAGCAUCAAAGCCAGUGGGAACGGGACACUUCUUGAUGUCCCAAACUCCUCUGCAAACUCUUCUGCUGGCUCUUGUCACGGGCUGCACAAACUGGGAAAACCAGGCCCGUAAAGCGAGGAAGAGAAUGGCUGUGGCCUAAAGGCUAAAAGGCUAAAGCUAAAAGCAAGCUAAAGAUUAUAGGACCAUAUGUCCCCUCAGAUUUUACCAUUUUGUGGCAGACAAAUAGCUGUAUGUUACUUCUCUGGCUAGUGGAAAGUCUUAUUCUUGUUGUAAUACAAUAAUAAUACUGCAUAAUUUUCAUCA